rnacentral:lncRNA from 1 species
AAAAUAAAAAAAUAUAUAUAUCAUUUCAACCUUCUAAGUUCUUUCAAACAUAGUUUCUAGAGUUAAAUUUUGUUAGUAACAACCAUUAUCUCUAUAAAAUUACUAUUUUUUUCUUUCAAAUAUACUCUUUUAUCAUAACUAAUUUUUCUUAUUUGUUUUUAAAUUAGGAUCCAAAAAAAAUUGACUUUUGUCCUCUCAAAUAUAUCUUUUUAUCAUCACCAACUUUUUUUAAUCAUCCUUAAAUUAGGGGCGAAAAAUAUAUUGUGGCUUUUUUAAAUUUGGUAGAAAUUUAAUACGAGUUUAAUUCAAGAUAACUUAAUAAAUACUGGCAGCGGGUUAUUUUCAAAUAACAAAAAAAUAUAUCAGGAGUGUAUUUAAAAUAAAAAAUAUAUAUAUAAUAUUUCAUUAAAUUUUGAAGGAUAUAUAAAUAAUUAUCCUUUAUAUAUAUAUAUAUAUGAUUU